AGUGAACGCUGGCGGUAGGCCUAACACAUGCAAGUCGAACGGCAGCACAGUAAGAGCUUGCUCUUACGGGUGGCGAGUGGCGGACGGGUGAGGAAUACAUCGAAAUCUACUUUUUCGUGGGGGAUAACGUAGGGAAACUUACGCUAAUACCGCAUACGACCUACGGGUGAAAGCAGGGGAUCUUCGGACCUUGCGCGAUUGAAUGAGCCGAGGUCGGAUUAGCUAGUUGGCGGGGUAAAGGCCCACUAAGGCGACGAUCCGUAGCUGGUCUGAGAGGAUGAUCAGCCACACUGGAACUGAGACACGGUCCAGACUCCUACGGGAGGCAGCAGUGGGGAAUAUUGGACAAGGGGCGCAAGCCUGAUCCAGCCAUACCGCGUGGGUGAAGAAGGCCUUCGGGUUGGAGAGCCCUUUUGUUGGGAAAGAAAGGCAGCAGGUUAAUACCCCGCUGUUCUGACGGUACCCAAAGAAUAAGCACCGGCUAACUUCGUG
rnacentral:rRNA from 1 species